AGUAAUGCGUGACCAACCUGCCCCAUGCUCCAGAAUAGCUCUUGGAAACGGGUGGUAAUGCUGGAUGCUCCAACUUGACGCAUGUCUUGUUGGGAAAGUGUUUAGUGGCAUGGGAUGGGGGUCGCGUCCUAUCAGCUUGUAGGCGGGGUAAUGGCCCACCUAGGCUUCGACGGGUAGACGGCCUGAGAGGGCGGACGGCCACAUUGGGACUGAGAUACGGCCCAGACUCCUACGGGAGGCAGCAGAU
rnacentral:rRNA from 1 species